UCUUGGUCAUUUAGAGGAAGUAAAAGUCGUAACAAGGUUUCCGUAGGUGAACCUGCGGAAGGAUCAUUAUCGAAAUUAUUGGUGAGGGUUGUAGCUGGCCUUUCGAGGCAUGUGCACGCUCGAACCCUUAAUCCACUUUACACCUGUGCACUUAAUGUAGGUCGCCCUUAAAAAAGGUGACCUAUGUCUUAUCAUCAACCCAUCGUAUGUCUCAUAGAAUGUAAUCGAUAUCCUCGCCCUAAAAAAGCGUUGAUAAACUUAUACAACUUUCAACAACGGAUCUCUUGGCUCUCGCAUCGAUGAAGAACGCAGCGAAAUGCGAUAAGUAAUGUGAAUUGCAGAUUUUCAGUGAAUCAUCGAAUCUUUGAACGCACCUUGCGCUCCUUGGUAUUCCGAGGAGCAUGCCUGUUUGAGUGUCAUUAAAUUCUCAACUCCAAGGGUUUCACGACCUUUCGGAGAUUGGACUUGGAGGUGCUGGCCGCAUAUUGGUCGGCUCCUCUCAAAUGCAUCAGCGGAAUUCAACCUUUGGCUUCCGGAUGUCAGUGUGAUAAUCAUGUUGCGCUGUCGUUUGAUCCCUCAGAGUCCGCUUAUAAUGGUCUUCGGACAAAAUCAUCAUCAAAUUUGACCUCAAAUCAGGUAGGACUACCCGCUGAACUUAAGCAUAUCAAUAAGCGGAGNAAANGGC
rnacentral:rRNA from 1 species